UCUAAGUAUAACCUGCCAGACAGGGAAACUGCGUACGGCUCAUUACACCAGCCUUAAUUUACUUGACCUUGACAACCUACUUGGAUAACUGUGGUAAUUCUAGAGCUAAUACAUGCACCAAAGCUCCGAUCCUCGCGGAGAGGAGCGCAUUUGUUCGCCACAAAACCAAGCGACCAUCUGGGCGUCCAGUGCUGAACCAGAACAACUCAGCUGAUCGCACGGUCUUGUACCGGCGACGUGUCUUUCAAGUGUCUGCCUUAUCAACUUUCGAUGGUAGUGUACCUGACUACCAUGGUUGUGACGGGUAACGGAGGAUAAGGGUUCGACUCCGGAGAAGGGGCCUGAGAAAUGGCCACUACGUCUAAGGAUGGCAGCAGGCGCGCAAAUUACCCACUCUCAACGCGAGGAGGUAGUGACGAGAAAUAACGAGACCGUUCUCAUACGAGGCCGGUUAUUGGAAUGGGUACAAUUUAAA
rnacentral:rRNA from 1 species